rnacentral:sRNA from 1 species
GAAUCUAGUUAUUUCAAUCUCAGGUUGACGCAAGAAUCCGUAUGGAGUCUAAUUGUUUUAUACAAAAUGG